CUGAUGGCAGAGGGAAAGAAACGGUUACAGAAUCACUGAGUGUGUGCCUUCAGGCUUCUGUACCUCCUUUCCGAUGAUAACAAUUAGAAGAGGGCUGACUGAUGGGGUCCUUAAUAAUUCACUUGAUGAGCUGAGUCACUGCUCCUUGAAGAUAUCUUGGAAACUAUGAAGACUAACACCCAUGAUGGAGCUCUGUGCCCAAAGAUCUCAGGUCUCUGGGCACACAGCCAAAGAUCUUCUGGCUCCCAUGACACACCGGUCUGUCGGGACAUUGACCUUCGAUCCACCCGUCUCCAGGGCCUCAAGAUCCUAGUCCUCCGAAGGUUCCUGUUCUUCCUCCCUGAUGGUAGUAAUGAGAAGAGGGCACGUUCUGUUUGAUGGGGUCCUUAAUGAUGGAUACUUCUAUUAAGUGCUUAUGUAACUGUUUUUCAAUUAGGAACAAUAACUCAAGACAGAUUUG